GACGAACGCUGGCGGCGUGCUUAACACAUGCAAGUCGAACGGAAAGGCCCUACUUUUGUGGGGUGCUCGAGUGGCGAACGGGUGAGUAACACGGGAGUAACCUGCCCUUGACUUUGGGAUAACUUCAGGAAACUGGGGCUAAUACCGGAUAGGAGCCCCUGUUGCAUGGUGGGGGUUGGAAAGUUUCGGCGGUUGGGGAUGGACUCGCGGCUAAUCAAUUUGUUGGUGGGGUAGUGGCUUACCAAUGCUUUGGCGGGUAGCCGGCCUGGGAGCGUGACCGGCCACAGUGGGACUGAGAGACGGACCAGACUACAACAGGAGGCAGCAGUGGGGAAUAUUGCACAAUGAGCGCGAGCCGGAUGCAGCAACGCCGCGUGCGGGAUGACGACCUUCGGGGUAUAAACCGCUGUCGCCUGUUACGAAGCGUGAGUGACGGUAACCGGUAAAGAAGCACCGGCUAACUACGUG
rnacentral:rRNA from 1 species